rnacentral:rRNA from 1 species
CCCUUAGAUGUUCUGGGCCGCACGCGCGCUACACUGAUGCAUUCAACGAGUCUAAAACCUGGUCUGAUAGGGCUGGGUAAUCUUUUGAAUGUGCAUCGUGAUUGGGAUAGAUGAUUGCAAUUCUUCAUCUUCAACGAGGAAUGCCUAGUAAACGCAAGUCAUCAGCUUGCAUUGAUUACGUCCCUGCCCUUUGUGCACACCGCCCGUCGCUCCUACCGAUUGAAUGUUCCGAUGAAUACCAUGGACUGAGAGUAUGAAUGGGUUCGCCUAUUUCUGCUUCUCGGGAAGUGGAGUAAAUCUUAACAUUUAGAGGAAGGAGAAGUCGUAACA